rnacentral:rRNA from 1 species
GUGAGGAAUAUUGCGCAAUGGGCGAAAGCCUGACGCAGCGACGCCGCGUGGAGGAUGAAGGUCUUCGGAUUGUAAACUUCUGUUAAGUGGGAAGAAAGGGCUGCUUUUAAUAGAAGCAGUUAAUGACGGUACCAUUAAAGAAAGCACCGGCUAAACUCGUGCCAGCAGCCGCGGUAAUACGAGUGGUGCAAGCGUUAUUCGGAAUAAUUGGGCGUACAGGGUGUGUAGGCGGUAUGUUAAGUCUGUUGUUAAAGACUCCGGCCUAACCGGAGACAGGCAGCGGAAACUGGCGUACUAGAGGGUGGAAGAGAGAAGUGGAAUUCUCGGUGUAGCGGUAAAAUGCGUAGAUAUCGAGAGGAACACCGAUGGCGAAGGCAGCUUCUUGGUCCAUACCUGACGCUGAAACACGAAAGCGUGGGGAGCAAACAGGAUUAGAUACCCUUGUAGUCC